GAUGAACGCUGGCGGCGUGCCUAAUACAUGCAAGUCGAGCGAACAGACGAGGAGCUUGCUCCUCUGACGUUAGCGGCGGACGGGUGAGUAACACGUGGAUAACCUACCUAUAAGACUGGGAUAACUUCGGGAAACCGGAGCUAAUACCGGAUAAUAUAUUGAACCGCAUGGUUCAAUAGUGAAAGACGGUUUUGCUGUCACUUAUAGAUGGAUCCGCGCCGCAUUAGCUAGUUGGUAAGGUAACGGCUUACCAAGGCAACGAUGCGUAGCCGACCUGAGAGGGUGAUCGGCCACACUGGAACUGAGACACGGUCCAGACUCCUACGGGAGGCAGCAGUAGGGAAUUUUCCGCAAUGGGCGAAAGCCUGACGGAGCAAAGCCGCGUGAGUGAUGAAGGUCUUAGGAUCGUAAAACUCUGUUAUUAGGGAAGAACAAAUGUGUAAGUAACUAUGCACGUCUUGACGGUACCUAAUCAGAAAGCCACGGCUAACUACGUG
rnacentral:rRNA from 1 species